UAGGGAAUCUUCGGCAAUGGGGGCAACCCUGACCGAGCAACGCCGCGUGAGUGAAGAAGGUUUUCGGAUCGUAAAGCUCUGUUGUCAGAGAAGAACGUGUGUGUGCGUGGAAAGUUCACACAGUGACGGUAACUUACCAGAAAGGGACGGCUAACUACGUGCCAGCAGCCGCGGUAAUACGUUGGUCCCGAGCGUUUUCUGGAUUUAUUGGGCGUAAAGCGAGCGCAGGCGGUUUAAUAAGUCUGAAGUUAAAGGCAGUGGCUUAACCCUAGAUCGCAUUGGAAACUGUUAAACUUGAGUGCAGAAGGGGAGAGUGGAAUUCCAUGUGUAGCGGUGAAAUGCGUAGAUAUAUGGAGGAACAACGGUGGCGAAAGCGGCUCUCUGGUCUGUAACUGACGCUGAGGCUCGAAAGCGUGGGGAGCAAACAGG
rnacentral:rRNA from 1 species